rnacentral:rRNA from 1 species
AUUGAACGCUAGCGGGAUGCUUUACACAUGCAAGUCGAACGGCAGCACGAAAAGAGCUUGCUCUUUUUGGUGGCGAGUGGCGAACGGGUGAGUAAUGUAUCGGAACGUACCCAGUAGCGGGGGAUAACUACGCGAAAGCGUGGCUAAUACCGCAUACGCCCUACGGGGGAAAGGGGGGGAUCGCAAGACCUCUCACUAUUGGAGCGGCCGAUAUCGGAUUAGCUAGUUGGUGGGGUAAAGGCUCACCAAGGCAACGAUCCGUAGCUGGUUUGAGAGGACGACCAGCCACACUGGGACUGAGACACGGCCCAGACUCCUACGGGAGGCAGCAGUGGGGAAUUUUGGACAAUGGGGGAAACCCUGAUCCAGCCAUCCCGCGUGUGCGAUGAAGGCCUUCGGGUUGUAAAGCAUUUUUGGCAGGGAAGAAACGGCGCUGACUAAUACUUGGCGCAACUGACGGUACCUGCAGAAUAAGCACCGGCUAACUACGUG